rnacentral:rRNA from 1 species
AAGUCGUAACAAGGUUUCCGUAGGUGAACCUGCGGAAGGAUCAUUAUCGUGGGGCUUCNGCCCUCUCGAGAUAGAAACCCUUGCCUUUUCNAGUACCCUUCGUUUCCUCGGCAGGCUCGCCUGCCAAUGGGGACCCCAACCAAACCCUUUGUAUAAGCAGUAUACGUCUGAAAAUAAUACAAAAUAUUAAAACUUUCAACAACGGAUCUCUUGGUUCUGGCAUCGAUGAAGAACGCANCGAAAUGCGAUAAGUAGUGUGAAUUGCAGAAUUCANUGAAUCAUCNAAUCUUUGAACGCACAUUGCGCCCUUUGGUAUUCCUUUGGGCACGCCUGUUCGAGCGUCAUUUACCCCCUCAAGCUCAGCUUGGUGAUGGGCGUCUGUCCCGCCUCCCGCGCGUGGACUCGCCUUAAAAGCAUUGGCGGCCGCUACAUUGGCUUCGAGCGCAGCAAAACGCGCCUUCGUUGUCGUGGAUCGGCUCCCAGAAGCCCCUUUUUAUUAGUUUUGACCUCGGAUCAGGUGAGAAUACCCGCUGAACUUA